rnacentral:lncRNA from 1 species
GCCGCUGCACUCCAGCCCGGGUGACAGAGUGAGACUCCGUCUCAAAAACAAACAAACAAACAAAAAGAAAUGGGGUCUAUGUUCCCCAGACUGAAAAAAAAUGUUAUUUAAAAAUUAAGAUCCAUAUCUCUGCCUUGCAUUUUGAGUAGAUCUUUUAUCCAUACUUGAAUUUACAACAUCAUACAUUGGUAUUUAGAAAAUACUGUUGGCUGGGUGCCUGUAAUCCUAGAACUUUGGAAGGCCAAGGUGGGCGGAUUGACUAAACU